rnacentral:rRNA from 1 species
AGUGAACGCUGGCGGUAGGCCUAACACAUGCAAGUCGAACGGCAGCACAGUAAGAGCUUGCUCUUACGGGUGGCGAGUGGCGGACGGGUGAGGAAUACAUCGGAAUCUACUUUUUCGUGGGGGAUAACGUAGGGAAACUUACGCUAAUACCGCAUACGACCUACGGGUGAAAGCAGGGGAUCUUCGGACCUUGCGCGAUUGAAUGAGCCGAUGUCGGAUUAGCUAGUUGGCGGGGUAAAGGCCCACCAAGGCGACGAUCCGUAGCUGGUCUGAGAGGAUGAUCAGCAACACUGGAACUGAGGCACGGUCCAGGCUCCUAAGGGAGGCAGCAGUGGGGAAUAUUGGACAAAGGGAGCAAGCCUGAUCCAGCCAUAACGCGUGGGUGAAGAAGGCCUUCGGGUUGUAAAGACCUUUUGUUGGGAAAGAAAAGCAGCAGGUUAAUACCCCGCUGUUCUGACGGUACCCAAAGAAUAAGCACCGGCUAACUUCGUG